rnacentral:rRNA from 1 species
AUUGAACGCUGGCGGCAGGCCUAACACAUGCAAGUCGAGCGGUAGAGAGGUGCUUGCAUCUCUUGAGAGCGGCGGACGGGUGAGUAAUGCCUAGGAAUCUGCCUAGUGGUGGGGGAUAACGUUCGGAAACGGACGCUAAUACCGCAUACGUCCUACGGGAGAAAGCGGGGGAUCUUCGGACCUCGCGCCAUUAGAUGAGCCUAGGUCGGAUUAGCUAGUUGGUGAGGUAAUGGCUCACCAAGGCGACGAUCCGUAACUGGUCUGAGAGGAUGAUCAGUCACACUGGAACUGAGACACGGUCCAGACUCCUACGGGAGGCAGCAGUGGGGGAAUAUUGGA